GAUUUUUGAAUCAUUAGUGGUACCAUUUUUAAUGUUAUUUUUCGAAGAGAUGAUGGAACAAUUGAGUCUUAUGGCUCAUAAAAUAAAGGUAGUCUUAUCUUUAGAUAUUGUUAAUGCAAUUAUGACCUUUGUGGUUCCCUUAUCCCUUGAUGAUUCCCAUAGCCAAUUUUUUUUGUCUCAUUUUCAAUAAGCUUUUAAUGUUUAACAUAAAGAAUCCUUGGUUAUAUCUUGAGUGUGUGCAACCUUAGCUUGAUGUUAUAAUUAUUUGUGCUAACCGUAACCCUCAUAUCAUGAGGAUGCGGUAUGUGUUUGUCCUUCCUUUGGUUUUGCAAGGUUUGGAUCCGAGAUCGAAUUCUUUUAAAAAGGAGAGGAUGAUACAAUCCAAAUUGCCUCUGGAUCUUUGGAUGGGAUAUUUAUGGUUCUAGAGGUCUUAAAGACAUCUUAGUGUCAUCAAAAGGGUUUCAUGUAAUGAUGUUUGCUCGAGGAAAUGUGAAAAGGGGCUAAAAAGCCUCUUGGAAGGGACAUGAACCCAAUUUGCCUUGGAGGAGCACCCGACCUACUCUAGCGGAUCAAAAGUAGGUCAAAACAGCUUCAUCCUCUCUAGAAAAUCCCUUGAAGUGUGUCACAUCUUCUCCAAAGAUGCUAAAGCAGAUUGCCUUGCUUCAUUAAUGUAAAUGGGUCACUUUUGGGUCCAUUGUAAUAAGUUAAACCCUAAACUAUAAAUAGAUUAGCUUAAUCUUUAUUUCAUUAGUGUUUUUUUGGAUAAUAAAGAUAUGAAAGCUUUUGAGAGAGUGAGUGAUAGCUUGGAAAAGCUUUUGUUGACAUUUAUUUAGAAACGGUGGUUGUAAGGGCGUUUCGAUUCCCUUGUGGUCAACGUAAGAAAUUGGUAUUUGUUGAUAAUUGAUUUGGG
rnacentral:lncRNA from 1 species